AAUGAACGCUAGCGGCAGGCCUAAUACAUGCAAGUCGAGGGGUAGAGAAGAGCUUGCUUUUCUUGAGACCGGCGCACGGGUGCGUAACGCGUAUGCAACCUACCUUUAUCAGGGGGAUAGCCUCUCGAAAGAGAGAUUAACACCGCAUAAAAACACAGUACGGCAUCGUACAAUGUUCAAAUAUUUAUAGGAUAAAGAUGGGCAUGCGUGACAUUAGCUAGUUGGUGAGGUAAGGGCUCACCAAGGCGACGAUGUCUAGGGGAUCUGAGAGGAUGACCCCCCACACUGGUACUGAGACACGGACCAGACUCCUACGGGAGGCAGCAGUAAGGAAUAUUGGUCAAUGGGGGCAACCCUGAACCAGCCAUGCCGCGUGCAGGAAGACGGCCCUACGGGUUGUAAACUGCUUUUAUACGGGAAUAAACCCCUUUACGUGUAAAGGGUUGAAUGUACUGUAAGAAUAAGGAUCGGCUAACUCCGUGCCAGCAGCCGCCGCCGUAA
rnacentral:rRNA from 1 species